rnacentral:lncRNA from 1 species
AUGAAUCUAAACUUGACUCCCUCGCUGGACUCAAAUGAAUCUAAACUUGACUCCCUCUCACCAACACCAUUGAAUAUGUUUGAACUGAACCCACAUAUACUGAACUGUUUCUCUCUGCUCUUUCACUGCUCUCUCUUCCUCUCAUCCCCGUCUCUCUCAUCCCGUCUCUCUAUUCUCCGUCUCUCUCAUCCCCUCUCCGUCUCUCUCAUCCCCUCCCCGUCUCUCUCAUCCCCGUCUCUCUCAUCCCCUCCCCGUCUCUCUCAUCCCCUCCCCGUCUCUCUCAUCCCCGUCUCUCUCAUCUCCGUCUCUCUCAUCUCCGUCUCUCUCAUCCCGUCUCUCUCAUCCCGUCUCUCCCAUCCCGUCUCUCUCAUCCCCUCCCCGUCUUUCUCAUCCCCAUCUCUCUCAUCUCAUCCCAUUCUCUCUCAUCCCUCCCCGUCUCUCUCAUCCCGUCUCUCUCAUCUCCGUUUUCUCUCAUCCCCGUUCUCAUCUCCAUUUUCUCUCUCCCGUCUCUCUCAUCCCCUCUCCGUCUCUCUCAUCCCCUCUCCGUCUCUCUCAUCCCUGUCUCUCUCAUCCCCUCUCCGUCUCUCUCAUCCCCGUCUCUCUAUCCCGUCUCUCUCAUCCCCUCCCCGUCUCUCUCUCCCCUCUCCGUCUCUCUCAUCCCCUCUCCGUCCUCUCAUCCCCUCCCCGUCUCUCUCAUCCCCUCCCCGUCUCUCUCAUCCCUCUCCGUCUCUCUCAUCCCCUCCCCGUCUCUCUCAUCCCGUCUCUCUCAUCCCGUCUCUCUCAUCCCUCCCCGUCUCUCUCAUCCCCGUCUCUCCAUCCCUCCCCGUCUCUCUCAUCCCCGUCUCUCUCAUCCCCGUCUCCUCCCUCAUCCCUCUCUCAUCCAUCCCCGUCUCUCUCAUCCCAUCCCCGUCUCUCUCAUUCCUCCCAUCCGCCGUCUCUCUCAUCUCAUCCCCGUCUCCUCAUCCAUCCCCAUCUCUCUCAUCCCAUCCCUGUCUCUCUCAUCCGUCUCUCUCAUCCCCGUCUCUCUCAUCCCCUCCCCGUCUCUCUCAUCCCGUCUCUCUCAUCCCCUCCCCGUCUCUCUCAUCCCUCCCCGUCUCUCCAUCCCCGUCUCUCUCAUCCCUCCCCGUCUCUCUCAUCCCGUUCUCUCUCAUCCCCUCCCCGUCUCUCUCAUCCCGUCUCUCUCAUCCCUCCCCGUCUCUCUCAUCCCCCGUCUCUCUCAUCCCCGUCUCUCUCAUCCCCUCCCCGUCUCUCAUCCCCUUCCCCGUCUCUCUCAUCUCUCUCCUCUCCAGUUAA